rnacentral:snoRNA from 1 species
GCUCUCCAGAUUCCUUACCCCUAGAUCUAAAUAUUGGUCUGAGUGGCUUAAAAAGGAGGACGGAAUUAAAAUUGAAGUGAACUUGAGUCUUUAGUGGCCUAUAAGUUCAUCUCAAACAUAU